AGUGGGGAAUCUUGGACAAUGGGCGAAAGCCUGAUCCAGCCAUGCCGCGUGAGUGAAGAAGGCCUUAGGGUUGUAAAGCUCUUUUACCCGGGAAGAUAAUGACGGUACCGGGAGAAUAAGCCCCGGCAAACUUCGUGCCAGCAGCCGCGGUAAUACGAAGGGGGCUAGCGUUGUUCGGAUUUACUGGGCGUAAAGCGCACGUAGGCGGAUUGUUAAGUCGGGGGUGAAAUCCUGGAGCUCAACUCCAGAAUUGCCUUCGAUACUGGCUUUCUAGAGGCUGGAAGAGGUUAGUGGAAUUCCCAGUGUAGAGGUGAAAUUCGUAGAUAUUGGGAAGAACACCAGUGGCGAAGGCGGCUAACUGGUCCAGAUCUGACGCUGAGGUGCGAAAGCGUGGGGAGCAAA
rnacentral:rRNA from 1 species